CCUACGGGGGGCAGCAGUGAGGAAUAUUGGUCAAUGGCCGUAAGGCUGAACCAGCCAAGUCGCGUGAAGGAAGAAGGAUCUAUGGUUUGUAAACUUCUUUUCUCAGGGACGAAGCAAGUGACGGUACCUGAGUAAUAAGCCACGGCUAACUACGUGCCAGCAGCCGCGGUAAUACGGAGGUGGCAAGCGUUAUCAGGAUUUACUGGGUGUAAAGGGCGUGUAGGCGGGACUGCAAGUUAGAUGUGAAAACCAUGGGCUCAACCUAUGGCCUGCAUUUGAAACUGUAGUUCGUGAGUACUGGAGAAGCAGACGGAAUGCGUAGUGUAGCGGUGAAAUGCAUAGAUAUUAGGAGGAACUCCAGUGGCGAAGGCGGUCUGCUGGACAGCAACUGACGCUGAGGCGCGAAAGCGUGGGGAGCAAACAGGAUUAGAUACCCGAGUAGUC
rnacentral:rRNA from 1 species